rnacentral:tRNA from 1 species
CGGUUUAGCUCAGCUGGUAGAGCAGCGGUUUUGUAAACCGAAGGUCGGGGGUUCGAUUCCCUCAACCGG